GUAUGAAUAGAACACUGGUGGAAAUGGUACGCUCAAUGCUAAAUUGCAGAAGAAUUUCUGGGCUGAAGCACUCUUAACAGCCGCGUAUUUUCGAAAUCGUAGUCGGCCUGGACUGAAGCCAGACUUUUGGUUGUGUGUGCUAUGCACAUAUUCCUAGUGAUGAGCGACAAAAGUUUGACGCCAAGUGUCUCAUGUUAGGAUACGGUACUGAAACCAAAGCCUACCGUCUCUAUGACAGAGAAAAUAAUUUUCAGUCAGAAUGAGCAAGAAACAGUGAAGGGGAUGAUAGUUCCCAUGAAACUGAAUGUCUAAGCGAAGACGACGAACCUCAAGAACAAGUUAGACGAUCGCCUGAUUACUAUGGUCGAGCAACAAUUGCAGGAGAUCCUACCACCCAAGAGGAAGCAAUGAUUCAAUCAGACAAGACUAAAUGGGUGAAUGCAAUGGAGAAGGAGAUGGAAUCCCUACAUACGGAGGUGUGGGAACUUGGUUCUAAGUGGGUAUUUAAAACCAAGAAAGGAUACUCACAACGAUACGGUCAAGCGCCGGUAUCUCAGAGAACUGUUGCAUGGUUUGAACUGUUGCAUGGUUUGAAGUUGCAUCAAAUGGAUGUCAAAUGGAUGUCACUACUGCCUUCUUAAAUGGAGAGGAAGCUCAGCCGGAGGGGUAUGCAGUCGAAGGCAAGACGGGUGCAGAUUGAAACUCUAUAAAGCCUCUAUGGUUUAAACAAAGUCCAAGAUGCUGGAAUUCUGCUCUCACCUGAAGAACAUGGGAGACCCCUGUAUGCUACAGAAGGAGAGAUGUUCCUGAUUGCUGUAUAAGCGAAUGACUGAAGUCUGUCACGCCAGUUUGAAGUGAAAGACAUGGGGAGCUUUGCAUUACUUCCUAGGUGUAAAAUUGUCAACAGUCGUACACUGAGAACAUUUUGAAGCGAUACGGUAUGCAAGAUUGCGAACUCCUGUGGACACAAGUACAAAGUUGGUGAAAGCAAAAGAUGAGGACACUUUUGUAGUCAGCUGUGGGAAGUCUGUCUGCUGCCACAAGCUGUCGGUAAUGUGGCUAAGUUUUGUGCAAAAGCCAACAAAGCAACAUUGGAUUGCUGUGAAACGAAUCUUUCGGUAUCUGAAAGGGACUCAGAAGUAUGGUCUCCUCUUCAAGACAAGCACCAAUAAGGAUUGUGUGGGUUUCUCUGACGCUGACUGGGGUGGUGACCUGGAUGAUCGCAAGUCUACGUGUGCCGCUAAUUUCACUUGUGUUUGAAAGUCUGCGCAUGUGCACACAUUAUUUUUAAACUAUACUGACGGCAUUCAGAGACAUCUGGUACAUACUACAUACUGAUAGUAGUAGAGUUUGUAUGUGGAGAUCCACCUUAUUCACAGGAUCUAGUGGUAUGGCAGAGGCUAGCUUUGGAUUUAAGAUAUCUACGUAUAGCCAUUUUCAAAUUGUUUGAAGCAACUGGUGAUGUUGAGCCCAGGAAACCAAUUCUAUUGGAUUUGCUGAAAUAAGCGGCACGCUUGUAUCUGUAUCUACUAUGUGCAGCCUAGUUGCGGAAAAAAGUUCAGCAGAUCGCUCUACAAAGACGUCUUGAUCUGAGAGCCAGUUAUAUGGCCAGUAUUUGCACCUACCGUUAUUCCUUGAUGAAACUGGGACUGAACUAAAGGAUAUGCUCAGACAAUAAUCCGUGCAAUUAGUAACCGUUUACAGAUUCAAGGACGUAAUAUGACGUCAAUUGCUGCUAUUUCAACAGAAGGUUUGGUGACUGUAGAAACAACUAAUAACACUGUUAACGGUGAAGCUUUCCUGGACCGAUACCAGAGUUGCAUCCUUUUGAUGGGUACACCUCUAUGUCAAUUGCUCAAUUCAUCGUGUCUGCUGGUGUUCUGACAUUCUACCUACCACCGUACAGCCCUGAUUUAAAUCCAACUUUUAAUUACAUCAAACACUAUUUAAAACAACAUGAAGACAUAAUAAUUAUAUACAAUAUCACCAGAUACAUUGAUAAAGGCAGCGUUCGACAGUAUCACUCAAGAUAUGUGCAAAAAUUGGAUUGAACAUUGUGGAUACUAAUAAUCAUAAUAAUUAUAGUUAUGUACAUGGUCAAUUAUACACAUGUCUGUCUCAAUAUUUUUUCUCACGGUAGACUGCAUCUCGUCAUAUGUUGCUUAUUGAUUCUACCUUUUUCAAGAAGCUCAUUGUAACUGCAGAAGCACACUGACCGCGUAAAUUCACCCUCUUUCCUGGAGAGACAUCAACUGCAUCAGGUGUUACAGGAUCAAAUGUACAUGUCGAUAGAGAGCUACUUCCAGUUGAGGGUUGAGCAACUUUCCAAAAUCUCUUAUUAGGAUUAGGUGGACAGUCAUAUGAGCUAUGCUUUUUCAUUUGAAUAAGGUGAGCUCAUCCGUGUAUUGAUCAUCGGUGUGCUUCCCCUUUCAAUCAUUUCUACUUCAGUCACUUUAUCCAGGUAUUUAUCACAACGAGUGCGUUUUGCAGUUUCUUCAUCUGGUGUAUGCGCCCGCUUCCUUGUAGUCAGGUUUACCUUUGAUGGACAGUGUACAUAUCUUUAAGAUCCUCAUUGCUUGACAGCCACUGUUGUUUUCCACGAUUCCCAUGUCCUGGCUCGAUGUACCCAAAGCUAUCAAUAGAUAUUUCUCCAUUGCAGGCACUCAAAAUGUCUUCCUUUAAAUCUUCAAUUGACUUAUACAUUCUUGCAAUUCCUCGUAGCUUUUGGGUGGAAAAAUCAACUUAAUUGCAAUUGCAUAGGAGAACGACUUAACCUGCUGUGACUGUAUGGUGACCGUAGACUGUCAAAGAUUUUAUAAUACCGCAUAAUGAGCUAUACUGAGAGUUCUUACCUGAAUUAUUCCAUUAGCAGCAGCUGAAGAAACAGUUAUUGGUGUUAUAGCCAUAUUUGGCAAACAGUAUAGUCAGUCUUGAUCCUCUAGCUAUAGAUACUUGUGCCUUGGGUUCAAAGUGUAAAAAGUCUGCACGUGCACAUGAUAUGCACAGUGCCUUACGCUAUGAUUUUCAAACGCAAAUGAAAUCAGCAGUAAGAAACAGUAAGAAACAGGCACUCUCAACUGCCCUUGCCAGUACUGCUCCUGGUUGCAGCAAUUACUUGCCCGAAGACAUCUUUGAAGACAAUCUUUGAAGACAACCAGAGGUAAUUAACCAUCGGAUUCUUAAUUAACAGUGAAGUGAAGUGAAAUGUCUGUACUUCUCUAUCGGGUUUCCAGAGCAAUAUACCACCCCCAUACAACAAGGAAUAAAAUGGUGUAACAUGUGUUGCCAUAGCAACCACGUUUUAAAUGCGUUGAGAUAAAAUCCAAAAUUUUUUUUUUAUUGAUCAUGGUAUAAAGGCUUGACUAAGCUGAAAGUAACAGUGCUAAGAUAUAUCAAUUUCUCUUUAGAACUGCAAAGAGCAGCCACAAGUCGCCGGACAGUCCAUCACCCGAUGACACACUUUUGUCAUCAGGAAGUUCAUCUCCGUCAUCGUUGGACAGUGACCCACUUCCAUCAGACGGUCCACCCCCUGAUACUGUUGACACUGAUACUGUUGACAUCAGAGAGAAGGUGGAACAAUCUAUGAAAUUUACAAGCUCACAUAAAGACUGUUUAUUACUGCUAAUUCUAUUUUAGCUAUACUACGUCCCAGACAGUUCAUCAGCGUUUGCUGGUAGCGUAUCCUACUAUCCCCUCUCUCACUGUCAUGCUGAACCUAGCCAUAGCUAUAAACUUCCUGAUGCUAAUGAAAUUUUAACAUAGGCUUGGAAAUUUCUGGACUAAAUUGCACGUGAUUCUACAGCUUUUCCUCUAUACAGGGAUUCGAGCUACUUCCUAAGUAUAGCAAAAUUAGAAUUCUGCAACUUCGUUUAAAGGGUAUAUUUGAAUGAACAGUGUUACAAUGGAGGUCCUUGCCUGAGACCUGAAUCUCAUUGCAUAAUCUCAUUGCAUCGGUGCUUUUGCAUCGGUGCUUUUGGAAGCACCCUUCUUUAGAAAAUGUCGUCGAUGAACACAUGGCUUGCCUAUUCCCUUUGGCUCCAAGAAGAUGAAGACUGAAUGGCUACGGAAGAUCGAUGGAAGUGCCUUCUACAGCCCCUGUCACCGAGCUCCGUCUGAUGCUAGAAGGAAAGCUGACUGAGAUGGACCAUAGAUAGAGUAGAAGAGGGAUUGGAAACGGAUACACCAUCUGUGUAUUGCCUACUUUCCUUUUUUGUUUCCUCCAAGUAGCACUUCUUUUUGUUUUUGUCUUCCUCCAACCCAUGGCAGCCAUCUUGAAAUCACGAUUAAACUACUCAUGCUACUGAAAUGGCCAUUGAUUGUGUGAUUUCAGACAAAUAUAUUGUCUCCAAGGUUCAAAUACUUGAAGGAUGUUGGAACAGAAUUGCUGCAGAAAGUAGAAAGUGAGAGAACGAUAGAUAGAUCUACAAUGACAUGUACAUUUGACAAAAGUCCUGCACUCCAAGUUUAAGUUUAAGUUCGUAUUUGCACAAGUCAAAGGGAUGCACAAGUCAAAGGGAAAUCAAAUUCAGCGAAGAGGGAAAAUUUGUGGCUUGCAGCAUUUCACCAUCUUGCUUUGUGUGAGCUGUAUGGGAUGAACUGUUCUCGUCACUAGGUAUGCAAUGUGAGGACCAAUUGCUAUUGCAGUCAACGAACCUAAAGUUGUUUGAAAUGAUGCUAUCACACUACUUUAGUGAAACCAGCAAAAGUGUAAGUAAAGUUACUGACAAUUCUGAAGUCAUACUUACCAAUCAUGAAUUGAAUGUACUACGAUAUGUCGGUGGAUUGCUUUGUUGAAACGCUAUGAACGAUACGGAAAUAAAUAUGAAAUGUUUUUUGAGUGCUUAGGAGAUAUGGCUGUAGUGAGUGAUGAUUUUUUCUCGACUACACUAAAGAAUGGUCUACACUAAAGAAUGGUACUCCAAAAGAAUGGUACUCCAAAGGGGAGGAUUAUUUCCAUUAAAUGAUAUAACUUUCAUGUUGUUUACAGAAAUUGAAAAACAGACCUGUGGCUUUCUCAGUGAGUAAUAUGCUACACUCAAGCCAGGAAAAACUACAGGAUGAUGUCAUCAAAAAACAUAGCAGACAAUGAGAAUGUUCAACUUAAGUGGAUUUGCAUUUCUCAGUGCAUAGAAAGACAAGAAGACGAGACGCUUGCUGGUUGCAUUUAGCAUAUUAUAAUUACUAUACGAUUAUGUACGUAGAAAAAUGUUUUGCGUUUGGGCAUUGGAACUCGGGAUUGUCAAGUAGCCUACAGUUUCCCCGUACCCGGUCCAAUUCGAAAGAUUUCUGGGAUUCCACAAUAUUUGGGUUGCUCUUGAUCGCUGAAUUGAGUGUCAUUUCCACGAAAGAUUUGACUGUAGAAGAAACAUAACUGGUGUGAAGGCAUGCACUAACCACUAUAAAUACAAUAACUGCAAGUGUGCUUAAGCAUAGUUUUUUCUUUUCUUUUGCAGAGAGAUUAGGUUGGACGUCAGCAGAGGAGGAACGCCAGAGGAGGAACGCCAGGGUCAAUAGGGUCACAUUUAAUGAAGAAGGAUUAAACAUGCUUCUGUUCUUUAUUUGCCUGCUUGGAAAGCCUAGAUCUAUCCAGUGCAGCAAGCCAGUAUAUCAAAAUUUAUUCUCUAGCCACGGCAGGUGGUUUAGAAGAAUGCAAUAAAAGGUCAAAGGAGGUUGCAAUUAAAUCCUUCAUUUCGUCUAUCACUAUACCACAAAACUUCAUUGUUAUCAGGUAGCUCGUCCACCUUUGACUCUUUUUGUAGUUGCUUUAGAACAUCGACUUGGUAGCCUGUGUCAUGUUUAAAAUAGUGUGUAUAAUCUCUUAAAGUUCUCUCCGAAGGAAGACAUCAACUUCAAGUUUAUACACCAGCGAAUGACGCUCAUCCUUUAUAGUAGCAGCUUUCAAUUGUUCUUUCCAAAAUAAAUUUGAAAAUGUUCCCUGAAUUUUCUUUCAAGUUCACCAUCAACACAUUCGCCAUGUCUUUUAUUUCUUUUUGAAUCUCAGGUUUUUCAUUCGAGCCCUUUUCUCUGGAGUAUUAAGAACCUUGAUAUUUGAAUGGCUACUGCUAUCACUCAUAUCGUGUGCACUUCGUGAUUUAUAACGAUUCUCUUAAAGUACUUUGAUAUUUUUUGCACAUUGUACACUAGCCUCGAUCCCAGGCCGAGUUUUCGCUUUUAUAACGGCUAGGCGAACAACUGGGCCUGGUACUAGUUGUCUGCGCAUGCGUCAAUCGUUCGUCAGAUUCUGACGAAUGGAUAUUCUCGUUCACUUUCGUGACAUUUAUAUUCGUGUACUAUCGUGUACUAGAAGUCAGUUCCCGUUUUAUCAUUAUUGGAAUCGAUUGGAAUGGCUCUUAGCUGAAGCUUCUCUCUUCUCUGAAGCUUAUUCUGAAGACUGAACAACAAGGGAAGAGGUAUAAAGCUUUGUCAAGCUUGUUAAGGAGCAAUGGCUAAUAUCCAGCUAUCCCAACAGUGCUCCUCUUGGCUAUACUAACGGAGGCAAGGGUUUAACCGUCUUUGGUUUCUUUUAAUAAUUAUUUUCCUAUACUUACAGGACUGGAGUAUGACAUGCUCGUUCGAGGUAGCUCUACGUUUUCUCAAGAGUUACGAAUUGGGGCCUAGAGUCCAGCAGCCUGCUAAAUCUUUUUGAAACGUAAUUUGAAGGCAUUCAAUCAUCCUGAAGUUGCCCUGGGUCACUGUAAUCGUGCUGCAGCACAACUGGCAACUCCCUAGGCCCUUGUGAAGCAUGUGCAUCUUUUGUGUACUCACUCUGUGCAUUUUCUGUGUACAAAUUUCGAUUAUUGAUUUAUUACACAGGGCCAAAUAGGGUAGUUUACAAUAGUGUGCAAAGUUUGUAAACACAGCAUUUACAUAGAGCUUGUGUUACAUAUGGAGUUUACAAAUGUGUAGACUAGAGUGUACACUACAGAUGAAGUUUACAAAGGUGUAGACUAGAUUGUCCAUGGUUUCCAGCUGCUUGUCACGUGAUGAUAUUGAUAGCAUAAUGGAUGAGGCUAAGUUGCUGAAGAUGUAUAGUCCUUCCCUAGUAUUCCCUUCUCUACCAAUGCUUAUCAAGCGUCAAAUACACCGGAGUCUCAAGAGAUGGAUGUGAACCACACACCUAGAGAUUCUGACGAUUUGCCACUAUCAUCGUCCGUGAACCAGUCUGUUAGGCGACAACUCUUGAUAAAAAAGAAGGUAAUAAAAAGUUCGUAUUGCUGUGUGCGUCCCUGACCGGCGACUUGCUUUGCGGGUCUUGUAGGCAGGGUUUGUGUGUGUGUGUGCCCUGACCGGCGACUUGCUUUGCGGGUCUUGUAGGCAGGGUUUGUGUUUGUGUGUGUGUGCCCUGACCGGCGACUGGUCUUGUUUGUGUGUGUGUGUGCCCUGACCGGCGCGUGUGUGUGCCCUGACCGGCGACUUGCUUUGCGGGUCUUGUAGGCAGGGUGUGCGUGUGUGUGCCCUGACCGGCGACUUGCUUUGCGGGUCUUGUAGGCAGGGUGUGCGUGUGUGUGCCCUGACCGGCGACCGGGUCUUGUAGGCAGGGUGUGUGUGUGUGUGUGUGUGUGCCCUGACCGGCGACUUGCUUUGCAGGUCUUGUAGGCAGGGUGUGUGUGUGUGUGUGUGCCCUGACCGGCGACUUGCUUUGCGGGCAGGGUUUGUGUGUGUGUGUGUGUGUGUAUUGUGAUUCCUUGUAGAAUUCAAAAACAACUAAUGAGGUUCGAAAAAAACGGAAAAGAUAUCGUGAUUAUAAGAAAAGACGUUUUAGUUCUUGGAAAAAAAGAAAGGAUGAUUAUGAACGAGCUGUGCAAGUAGAGAUUAGCAAAGCAGCAAUUGCUGAAACUUUGCUCCGAGAAAACAAAAGGAACAUAAAAAACACGAAAACUGUUUUACAUUGUCAGGAGAUUGAAAAGGAAUUCUUAAGCUUAGACAAGAAUCAAACCAGUGUCGCAAAAGACAAUUGGAAGUGGAUCAGUCUGUGUACAUAAUGCAGCUAGAGAAUGAUAGAGACCAAGCCAUACAGAACGCUCGUUUGUAUAGAGACCUGCCGAGA